GAUGAACGCUGGCGGCGUGCCUAAUACAUGCAAGUCGAACGCAUAGCGAAAGGUGCUUGCACCUUUCAAGUGAGUGGCGAACGGGUGAGUAACACGUGGACAACCUGCCUCAAGGCUGGGGAUAACAUUUGGAAACAGAUGCUAAUACCGAAUAAAACUUAGUGUCGCAUGACACAAAGUUAAAAGGCGCUUCGGCGUCACCUAGAGAUGGAUCCGCGGUGCAUUAGUUAGUUGGUGGGGUAAAGGCCUACCAAGACAAUGAUGCAUAGCCGAGUUGAGAGACUGAUCGGCCACAUUGGGACUGAGACACGGCCCAAACUCCUACGGGAGGCUGCAGUAGGGAAUCUUCCACAAUGGGCGAAAGCCUGAUGGAGCAACGCCGCGUGUGUGAUGAAGGCUUUCGGGUCGUAAAGCACUGUUGUAUGGGAAGAACAGCUAGAAUAGGAAAUGAUUUUAGUAUGACGGUACCAUACCAGAAAGGGACGGCUAAAUACGUG
rnacentral:rRNA from 1 species